rfam:Brassica napus, WGS project CCCW01000000 data, contig: 11458
GGAAUAUAAAAAACUGUUUAUUAACUUUUAACUAAAAAAUGCUAAGAACCGACUCUUGAAUAAGAGCUGGUUCAAAAGCCGGUUCUUAACUUUUUUAGUUAAAAGUUAAGAGAUGAUUUCUUAUAUACC